rnacentral:rRNA from 1 species
GAUGAACGCUAGCGGCAGGCUUAACACAUGCAAGUCGAGGGGUAUUGGUUUUCGGACCAAGAGACCGGCGCACGGGUGCGUAACGCGUAUGCAAUCUACCUUUUGCAGAGGGAUAGCCCAGAGAAAUUUGGAUUAAUACCUCAUAGUAUAGUACUUUGGCAUCAAGGAACUAUUAAAGUCACAACGGCAAAGAUGAGCAUGCGUCCCAUUAGCUAGAUGGUAAGGUAACGGCUUACCAUGGCUACGAUGGGUAGGGGUCCUGAGAGGGAGGAUCCCCCACCACUGGUACUGAGACACGGACCAGACUCCUACGGGAGGCAGCAGUGAGGAAUACUGGUCAAUGGACGCAAGUCUGAACCAGCCAUGCCGCGUGCAGGAUGACGGUCCUAUGGAUUGUAAACUGCUUUGUACGAGAAGAAACAACAUUACGUGUAAUGUCUUGACGGUAUCGUAAGAAUAAGCACCGGCUAACUACGUGCCAGCAGCCG